rnacentral:rRNA from 1 species
UACAGAGGUCUCAAGCGUUGUUCGGAUUCAUUGGGCGUAAAGGGUGCGUAGGCGGCGCGGUAAGUCGGAUGUGAAAUCUCGGAGCUUAACUUCGAAACUGCAUUCGAUACUGCCGUGCUUGAGGACUGGAGAGGAGACUGGAAUUUACGGUGUAGCGGUGAAAUGCGUAGAUAUCGGAAGGAAGACCAGUGGCGAAGGCGGGUCGUCGUGGACAGUUCCUGACACUGAGGCACGAAGGCCAGGGAGCAAACGGG